rnacentral:lncRNA from 1 species
ACCCAUGGUUUUAGGUUUAACUAUACAAGUUUCUUUCUUCACCAGAACUUAAAAUCAUGAAUAUAGUUUAGGAAUUUUGUUCUGUUAGGAUGGUUCAUUCUCAUUUUUGGCUUUUCUGGCAUAGAAUCGGGUUGAAAUUAACGAUGUAGAACCUGAAGUUUUUAAGGAAAUGAUGUGCUUCAUCUACACGGGGAAGGCACCAAACCUUGACAAAAUGGCUGAUGAUUUGCUGGCAGCUGCUGACAAGUACGCCCUGGAGCGUUUGAAGGUCAUGUGCGAGGAUGCCCUCUGCAGUAACCUCUCUGUGGAGAACGCUGCAGAGAUUCUCAUCCUGGCUGACCUCCACAGCGCAGAUCAGCUGAAAACCCAGGCAGUGGAUUUCAUCAACUA